rnacentral:rRNA from 1 species
UCAGGCCUAACACAUGCAAGUCGCACGGGAUCAUUUUGGUAGCAAUACUCGAAUGGUUUAGUGGCGCACGGGUGAGUAACAUGUGAAUUACAUGCCCUAUAGUGGGGAAUAGCCCAGGGAAACUUGGAUUAAUACCCCAUGGUCUCGCGAGAGUAAAGGUGGCCGCAAGGCUGUCGCUAUAGGAUUGGUUCGCACCCUAUCAGCUUGUUGGCGAGGUAACGGCUCACCAAGGCUACGACGGGUACCUGGUCUGAGAGGACGAUCAGGCACACUGGAACUGAGACACGGUCCAGACACCUACGGGUGGCAGCAGUCGAGAAUAAUUCACAAUGGGGGCAACCCUGAUGGUAAAGCGCCGCGUGGAGGAUGAAGGUCUUCGGAUU